ACAAACCGUUGGACCUGGCACCUACUACCAUACCCCUUUCAAAAGCACUUAAAUAUUUUGUCUUGCCCAGUCACCCUCUGAAUGGCACACAUACACAUGUUUUUGCUGUGUGAACGUUUUCAGAUGCAGACUGAUUACAAAGGAUUCUUUGAUGGCGUAUUUAUCUGCAAGGAUGAGGAUGUGUCUGACUUUGUAAACUAUGUCCAUACAAAGACUAAACAUGUACGUUUCCUGUGUAUCUUCUAAUCUGUGAAAUAGGACUGGCCUCGGGCCAUCUGACUCAAAGGCAGACUCGUUAUACACUAUUCCAAUAAAAACAUAUCAUUUUGGAGAGAUGGUAAUCCUCUCUCUUCAAGUCCAGGGUCGUUACACCACUCCCUCUGUUCAGAAAUGCAACACACUUUACAAGUGCUUGUUUUUUACAGUCAAUCUCCAACUUCUGAUCUCAGCUCAGCGCCCUCAGCUAGAUUUUAAAAACCUAACCACUGUCCCUUCAACACUCCCCCCCCCAAUUUGUUUUCUACCUAUACUCUUCUACUUCCUUGUCUAGGGUUAUGGAAAAGGGGUAUGUGGAGCAUCCCAGUGGACAGCAGCUAAAGAGUCGUCAAGGAAAACAAACGACAAACUUGAUGAAGAGGGACUCGAAGUUGCCGUCUGCUGCCACAGAAUACUUCUAAGGAGCCUCAACAUGAUGCGUGGAGAGAUAUUUGCGUACCCACUUCUUGCAGAAGGAAUUGUAUGGCAGCAGGAACAUACAAUUCAUAAGUACGGAUGUGAUCUGCAAAUUUUGGCCAUACAUAACCAAAGUUGCCCUUCAUUGUCCAGAGCUCGCCACUCUUUUAGACAUGAAGCCACUUCUUUCCGUCAUGCAUGCAAAGGCACAUCGUUUGAAAUGCGCGACAACAGCAAAAUCCAGGAGGAGACCCAGACUCUCGAAAAGUUUAAGAGUGAUUUGGGUGUAGGCGAUGAGACUCUGUACAACUGGACAACGGAAGGUCAGCAAUGGGCUAAUACAGAGGAAACAAAUAUGAACAUGGAUGGUCCCCAGGUACUACAGAGAACAAUUUAAGUCCUUUUUCUUAGCAUCAAACAAAGGAAACAGAACCUCUACCGUCAGACAGAUGGAUGCAAGAAAAGACACCCUCUGCGCAGAAAGAUAUUGGUAGAAAAGGCCAAAUUGACAGCUGCCAUAGAGGAGUACAACACCCUUGUACCAGAUUCAGCAAUACCAUCUGCAGAUGAGAUCCUUUCCACAGACCUUCAUGCAUGGCCUUGGGAGCUGAAUGGACAAACUGACCUACUCACAAAUAAAAUAGCCUUUGACCGUGUGAUGCUCCUGAGACGGCUGAAGGAGGAGGAGUUAAUUGUCCUAAAGGAAGUCAAGCAGCACUGGGAAAGCCUAAAGAGGAAAUCGGAUAAUGUGCAAGACCUUGCUUCAUAUGUGGUACUUGACCUAAGCAGGCCAAAUAGGGGAACUUUCAUUAAUAUAUACAAUUGAUGAUGGCACCCUGUAAUUGCUAUUGUAUUUAAGGAAUAUUUAAUUGUAUUUACCCACAUUACAAUUGUUGGUGUUAGGCUGGCAAUUGAAUCAGUCGAAAGCUGGGCGCAAAGGUCAAAGCUGGGCGCAGAGGACAGUCAGCAGCCUCAGAAGACACCAGGACUCUGUCAAACUGAUAUACAGCAAAGCUAUGAGCCAAGACACCUCCCUCCUAGAAAAUAACUUCAUAGGUGACCUCCUGGAAGAGGACCUAGAUGACAUCUAUGACAGCAUCCACUACAGCUCUGAUGACGAGGAAUCUAUCACAGACUGACGGUGUUCUUUUGGGUGGGUGCAGUUUGCACUGGGUGAAAAGUGAUUCCAUUUGUUUUGCAUAUGUGCUUUAUCUGCCUUCCUAAGGAAAAAUUGUUUGAACAUUUUAUGGAAAAUAAACUUUUAUGUUUCUUCCUUGUU